AGUCGAGGGAUGGACGAUCGUUUGUUGUCGCCAAGUCUCGAGCGAGCAUCAGACCUGAGUGAGAGUAACUUUGUGGGACUGGGUGCGGUGCAAUGUUUGGAUGAUGGUGGUGCUCUGUACGGAUUGAUGGUGUGCCGAGAUUGGUGAUGCUGUUUGCUUGGUCUGUACCGCUUACAUUUCCUCCUUUUUAUCCUCUACUCUAUCUACAAGCAAUGGGUACAACUUAGAAGCGGAUGCUCACACCGCCACAUGUAGGGAUAACAACGAAGCUGGUGGAACUGGCUACCACACCUGUUUCAGUGGAAGCCAAAACGAUCGAGGCGUUUCGGUGUUUGGGCUUAUAAUUGUGGAUAGAAUAUUGAUGCCCGUCCACGCGCACGCAGACGCCUUAUAGU
rnacentral:lncRNA from 1 species